rnacentral:miRNA from 1 species
UCCAUUGUGUUCUUGAAACUCUCUA